GACGAACGCUGGCGGCGUGCUUAACACAUGCAAGUCGAACGGAAGGGCCCCCUUGUGGGGUACUCGAGUGGCGAACGGGUGAGUAACACGUGAGUAACCUACCCUUGACUUUGGGAUAACUUCAGGAAACUGGGGCUAAUACCGGAUAGGAGCUCCUGCUGCAUGGUGGGGGUUGAAAAGUUUCGGCGGUUGGGGAUGGACUCGCGGCUUAUCAGCUUGUUGGUGGGGUAGUGGCUCACCAAGGCUUUGACGGGUAGCCGGCCUGAGAGGGUGACCGGCCACAUUGGGACUGAGAUACGGCCCAGACUCCUACGGGAGGCAGCAGUGGGGAAUAUUGCACAAUGGGCGGAAGCCUGAUGCAGCAACGCCGCGUGCGGGAUGACGGCCUUCGGGUUGUAAACCGCUUUCGCCUGUGACGAAGCGUGAGUGACGGUAAUGGGUAAAGAAGCACCGGCUAACUACGUG
rnacentral:rRNA from 1 species